UACGUAGGGGGCUAGCGUUGUCCGGAUUUAUUGGGCGUAAAGAGCGUGUAGGCGGCCAGGUAGGUCCGCUGUGAAAACCCGAGGCUCAACCUCGGGACGUCGGCGGAAACCAUUUGGCUAGAGUCCGGAAGAGGAGAGUGGAAUUCCCGGUGUAGCGGUGAAAUGCGCAGAUAUCGGGAAGAACACCCGUGGCGAAGGCGGCUCUCUGGGACGGUACUGACGCUGAGACGCGAAAGCGUGGGGAGCGAACAGG
rnacentral:rRNA from 1 species